rnacentral:rRNA from 1 species
GAUGAACGCUGGCGGCGUGCCUAAUACAUGCAAGUCGAGCGAACGGACGAGAAGCUUGCUUCUCUGAUGUUAGCGGCGGACGGGUGGGUAACACGUGGAUAACCUACCUAUAAGACUGGGAUAACUUCGGGAAACCGGAGCUAAUACCGGAUAAUAUUUUGAACCGCAUGGUUCAAAAGUGAAAGACGGUCUUGCUGUCACUUAUAGAUGGAUCCGCGCUGCAUUAGCUAGUUGGUAAGGUAACGGCUUACCAAGGCAACGAUGCAUAGCCGACCUGAGAGGGUGAUCGGCCAAACUGGAACUGAGACACGGUCCAGACUCCUAAGGGAGGCAGCAGUAGGGAAACUUCCGCAAUGGGCGAAAGCCUGAAGGAGCAACGCCGCGUGAGUGAUGAAGGUAUUCGGAUCGUAAAACUCUGUUAUUAGGGAAGAACAUAUGUGUAAGUAACUGUGCACAUCUUGACGGUACCUAAUCAGAAAGCCACGGCUAACUACGUG